rnacentral:rRNA from 1 species
CAGUAGCCGCGGUAAAACGUAGGUGGCAAGCGUUGUCCGGAAUUAUUGGGCGUAAAGGGCUCGCAGGCGGUUUCUUAAGUCUGAUGUGAGAGCCCCCGGCUCAACCGGGGAGGGUCAUUGGAAACUGGGAAACUUGAGUGCAGAAGAGGAGAGUGGAAUUCCACGUGUAGCGGUGAAAUGCGUAGAGAUGUGGAGGAACACCAGUGGCGAAGGCGACUCUCUGAUCUGUAACUGACGCUGAGGAGCGAAAGCGUGGGGAGCGAACAAGAUUAGAUACCCCCGUAGUCCCUGUCUCUUAUAA